rnacentral:rRNA from 1 species
UACGUAGGUGGCAAGCGUCGUCCGGAUUUACUGGGCGUAAAGAGCGCGCAGGCGGUCGUUCAAGUCGCGUGUGAAAGCCCCCGGCUCAACUGGGGAGGGUCACGCGAUACUGAUCGACUCGAAGGCAGGAGAGGGUAGUGGAAUUCCCGGUGUAGUGGUGAAAUGCGUAGAUAUCGGGAGGAACACCAGUGGCGAAGGCGACUACCUGGCCUGUUUCUUGACGCUGAGGCGCGAAAGCUAGGGGAGCAAACGGG